AUCGAACGCUGGCGGCAGGCUUAACACAUGCAAGUCGAACGAGAGGCGCACGGGUGAGUUAUGCUUGGGAACCUAGCUUAUUGAGGGGGAUAACCACGGGAAACUGUAGCUAAUCCCGCUUCCCAUAGGAGGAGCCCAAGUGGAUUUAGGUAGUUGGUGAGGUAAAGGCUCACCAGGCAUACGAUCUCUAGCUGGUCUGCGAGGAUGACAAGGGACACGGGUGCUGUGGCACGGCCCAGACUCCUACGGAGGGCAGCAGUGGGGAAGAGGGCGGAAUGGGGGCAACCUGGCACGGCCGAGCCGAGGGAGUGAAGGAGGCCUUGGGGUUGUAAAGUUCUUUCGGUGGUGAGGCGUUAACUACAGAAGAAGCACCGGCUAACUCCGUGCCAGCAGCCGCGGUAAUAC
rnacentral:rRNA from 1 species